CGCCGACCUUUGACCUGGAGCACCCGCUGCACCGUCACCUCAUUGGUCACGACGUGUUUGAACCCAGAAGCCACGCCUCCUUUCUGGAAGUGCGUUCGCCUGGUGACUCAUGAAGAUGUUUUUGGAAUAAAAACAGGCUGUUGUCAAACAGAACGGGUCAUACGAUUGUCGCUCACCGCCUCUGCAGACGGAUCGUGUCCCAGUUCGACCCACCAGCCCUUCCUGUGCGGACAGGCAGCCGGGCCACCCGUCCUCGCAUACUUCGUCCCCUCCCCCACUGUCCACCAGCCUGUCUCUCUGUUGUCUGACUGGAAACUCAAACUGCGAAGAAACUGGGAAUUCAUUUGAAGAGAAACUACGUUUGUAUUGUGCUUUGUGGUCCGUCUGCUGCUGAAAAAGAACCCAAAGGUUUAGUUAAGUGGAUUUUAAGGCCUUGACAGCUUGUCUGGGGUUUCCAUCCCCCACCCUGGUAAAAAUAAGAGCCUUCCUCCAGCGGAGAGGAGGGGGUUUCUCAUGACUCAUUUGCUCCUUGAAUGCCAUUCUUCCUCAUUCUGUUGUGAUGCAUCAGAUACAGAUCUGUGCAUCCUCGCUGCUUCCCUCUGGGUUAGGGACGGCCUCCAUGUUAUGAAGGGAUAUGACAGUUAUUUUUACCAACUGACAACACCACAAAAUAAACUUAACCAGGCAUUAAAAAAUGACUGAAGACUUUAUCCCCCCCCUGACAAGGCAGCUAGAAGUAGUGAUGGGUGUGGCGUUUUUCCCUAAGUGAAAAUUAGCUUCCCCUGAAGCUGCCAUAGCCGUUAGCUUCAGGGGAAACUAUGCUAGUGCUAGUUAACUAGUUAGCUUAGCUAAGACAGUUUCGUACGGUUUAAUAAGCAGUUAAAGUGUCCUCAAAGAGGAUCUCAAAUAUUUGUGGAGAGAAUGAGAGAAAUAUCCUUAAUGGAAGAGUUACAAAAAACCAAAACAAAAACCAAUGAGCUAACAGGCGCUAAUUCUACCAAUCCAACCUCCUUUACACAGUUUGCUAAUUAGCAUUGAUAAGUCGCUUCCUAUGUGACUGAAUGAAAUCAUUCAUCAGGAAGUUUUUAAUUUAACCUAUAUUGUAGUUUAUUGCCUGCAUUAUCAGCCAUGGUUCAGCUGUUUGAGGACAGGAUGCCAAAUUAGGGCAUCUGGGCUCAACAGCUGAAAGGAAAUGUCCCGCAUGUCAACAGUAGGAGACGCACCCCAGAGUCCAACCCAACAGAAAACAUGCACUGUGACAGAAAACUGAUGAUUAGUUCAGGAAAAUCUCAUAUCUGACUUUCAACUCCUCUUCCUGAGUAGUUUGGUUUUACUGUCACACACUUUGAGGAUGUGGAGGUAAAACUUCCUCAAAACAGUUUGUCUCCAUAGAAACCAAAUAUGACUCAUGACGGGACCAAGAGUCAUUCUAACGUCUUUUUUUAACUUUUAGUUUCUGUAAUGAAAUAGUAAUGCAAAAACUGUGCAUUUUAUUCUUUAUUAGUUUCUUCUGAAGACAAAAAUAUUUAAUAUUAGUUUAAUGUUUUGGGGGUUUAUAGUUGCAUUUAAAGCAAUUGUGUCAUAAUUGUACUGUGGAUGCUAAAAGACAUUUAUGAAGUACACUAAUUAUUAAUAAUUUUCCAUUUUUAGUUCCUUUAGUUAACUUGGAAGGUCAUAAUAAACAUUACUAGUCAAUUUGUAAGGACAAACCUUGUGUUGUUAGCAAACUAAAGAGAAUCUGAGCCUCAAAUGUUAGGUAACUUUUAGGUAAACUAGUAAACUAAUUAUUUUUAGCUGAGAAAAUGAGGUCAAUAGGCAGAAAAGUAAUUGACAUAAACAUUGUAAUCUUUGCUAACCAUGUUAUUGUUUGCAAUGAUGCAAUAUGAAUAUAAAUUAGUUUGAAUAAGUCAACUCUUAUCUUUGAGGGAAAACACAUUUUGCAAUAGGUUUACUAAUAAGUAAACAUUUUGAGCUCUAGAGCUCAGUUACACAAGUGAACUGCAGAGUUCACUUGUGUAACUGAGCUCUAUAGUAAGGUCUAUUAGCUUAUUAUGAAUAUAAAAACUAGCGAACCUUUAAAUAAAUUAGACUGCAAAUUAUGCUUUUUGUAGAUCGGCAGCUUUGUAAACAAGUAUGACUUAUUUCAGCUGCCAAAGCUGCAUUUGCUUUAGAAUAUCUUAGAUUUGCUCUAUAAAAAAAAUCUGUGAACAGGCAAUUGUAAUAAAUUGGAGUCACAUUUCACAGAAAACUCUGAAUAACUGAACCUAAAAUAACAUCUGUUUGCAACUGCAGCUCUACACAUACAGAAAAUCGAAUUAGAUUUAAUUAGUAGGACCAGUGAUGCAAAAAGUGGGUGGGUACUGAAUAGGGGCGCCACCCAAGAGGGGGCGCCAAAUUUCUAUUUGGGAUUUUUCUUUCUUUCUUUUUGUAUUUAACAACUGUUUGUACUUUGAAAAUAUCUAGCUGUACCCAUGCAGGUGUGAAUACAGAAUAAAUA